UUUUUGGCUUUCGGCUCGGGGAGGCAAAGGUGCAACUUUCUUCGGUCGUCCCGAAUCUGGGUUCAUCCGACACCAGCCGCCUCCGCCAUGCCGCCUAAGUUCGACCCCAACGAGAUCAAAGUCGUGUACCUGAGGUGCACCGGUGGCGAAGUCGGUGCCACGUCUGCCCUGGCCCCGAAGAUAGGCCCGCUGGGUCUGUCUCCAAAAAAGGUUGGUGAUGACAUCGCCAAGGCAACCGGUGAUUGGAAGGGUCUAAGGAUUAUGGUGAAACUGACCAUUCAGAACAGACAGGCCCAGAUUGAAGUGGUACCUUCUGCCUCUGCCCUGAUUAUCAAAGCCCUCAAGGAACCACCAAGAGACAGAAAGAAGCAGAAAAACAUUAAGCACAGUGGAAAUAUCACUUUUGAUGAGAUUGUCAAUAUUGCCCGACAGAUGCGACACCGAUCUUUAGCGAGAGAACUCUCUGGAACCAUUAAAGAGAUCCUGGGGACUGCCCAGUCUGUGGGCUGCAAUGUAGAUGGCCGCCACCCUCAUGACAUCAUAGAUGACAUCAACAGUGGUGCGCUGGAAUGCCCGGCUAGUUAACUACAAAGGAAAAUGUUUCAAUAAAGGAUCAUUUGACAACCAGUGGACCUUUUGAUGUGGCCUCUUCCUUGGGGGAGCUAGCUCCUUUGUGGUCAGAUGGUGGGCCAGGGUGGCAGAAGCUGUGAAGUAGCUAUUUGGGUAGCAAGUUCCUUCUGGGUGACAGAUGGAUGCCCUGUAUGGGACUAGCUCAGAGAAGACACCUAGAAAGGAAGUUCUUGGCCUUCUGUAGGCUGCAUAUACGUGGAACUCUUCGUAAGAAUAAAAUUCUUUGCCAAAAAGAAAAAA